rnacentral:lncRNA from 1 species
AACUUAAAACCUUAUAUAUCCUUCCGAAAAAAAAAUUCCAAACUUCAAUAAUUUAUAUCUCAUGAUCUAACUAUCCAAACAAUCUAAAAUUGUACAUAAAAUAUUGAUAUAUUUUUAACAACUAUUCAAACAAAUUUCAACUACAAAUUUAUUACAAAUCUUGAGAUAUCGCCAAAACUCUAACAAUAACUUCAAACCCUUGCUUACAUAUACCCACAUGUAAAUUUUUUUAUAUCUCACAAAUUAAGUACUCAAAUACCAUGAAACUUUGAUUUAUAGAUUUUUAAUCUAAUAACAUACACUUAUAGAAAUUUUAAGCCAAAAAUUCGUCCAAAAACUCAAGAUAUGGCUCCAAUCGUUACUAUCAACAAAACAACUCA